rnacentral:sRNA from 1 species
GCUGGGCAGGGUGGCAUAUGCCUGUAAUUCCAGCAAUUUAGGAGGCUGAGGCAGGAGGAUCAGAAGUUCAAAGCCAGCCUAAGCAACUUACAGAGGUUCUAAGCAACCUAGUGAGACCCUGUCUCUA